AUUGAACGCUGGCGGCAUGCCUAACACAUGCAAGUCGAGCGGAUAAAGGGAGCUUGCUCCUGGAUUCAGCGGCGGACGGGUGAGUAAUGCCUAGGAAUCUGCCUGGUAGUGGGGGAUAACGUCCGUAAACGGGCGCUAAUACCGCAUCCGUCCUGAGGUAGAAAGUGGGGGAUCUUCGGACCUCACGCUAUCAGAUGAGCCUAGGUCGGAUUAGCUAGUUGGUGGGGUAAAGGCCUACCAAGGCGACGAUCCGUAACUGGUCUGAGAGGAUGAUCAGUCACACUGGAACUGAGACACGGUCCAGACUCCUACGGGAGGCAGCAGUGGGGAAUAUUGGACAAUGGGCGAAAGCCUGAUCCAGCAAUGCCGCGUGUGUGAAGAAGGUCUUCGGAUUGUAAAGCACUUUAAGUUGGGAGGAAGGGCAGUAAGUUAAUACCUUGCUGUUUUGACGUUACCAACAGAGUAAGCAACGGCUAACUUCGUG
rnacentral:rRNA from 1 species